rnacentral:rRNA from 1 species
GCCAGACUCCUACGGGAGGCAGCAGUGAGGAAUAUUGGUCAAUGGCCGGAAGGCUGAACCAGCCAAGCCGCGUGAAGGACGAAGGUGCCAAGCAUUGUAAACUUCUUUUGUCAAGGGACAAAAUCAGGCUCGAGAGCCUGACCGAGGGUACUUGAAGAAAAAGCAUCGGCUAACUCCGUGCCAGCAGCCGCGGUAAUACGGAGGAUGCGAGCGUUAUCCGGAUUUAUUGGGUUUAAAGGGUGCGUAGGCGGAUGGUAAAGCAGGGGGUAAAGGCGGGGGGCUAACCCCCGGCGAGCCGUUGAAACUGGCUGUCUUGAGAUGUCGAGAGGUAUGCGGAAUGCGCAGUGUAGCGGUGAAAUGCUUAGAUAUUGCGCAGAACUCCGAUUGCGAAGGCAGCAUACCGGCGGCGAUCUGACGCUGAGGCACGAAAGCGUGGGUAUCGAACAGGAUUAGAUACCCCGGUAA